rnacentral:rRNA from 1 species
UACAGAGGCCUCGAGCGUUAGGCGGAAUCACUGGGCUUAAAGCGUGUGUAGGCGGACUUCUAAGUACCUUGUGAAAUCCCACGGCUUACCCGUGGAACUGCUCGGUAUACUGGGAGUCUUGAGCCACCUAGGGGCGAGUGGAACAAAUGGUGGAGCGGUGAAAUGCGUAGAUAUCAUUUGGAACGCCAAUGGUGAAAACAACUCGCUGGGGGUGUGCUGACGCUGAGACACGAAAGCCAGGGAGCGAACGGG